CUGCAAAUGUGAAAACGUUGCAGUGAGAUUGCAGGAGCUUGAAAAUAGGGUAAACAGACUUGUGAGAGCCCAACCCUCGGCGCCCUCUACACCCAAGACACCCAGAGGCAUACCGUCAAAACUAACUACCUCAGCCCAAAAAUAUGAACAUGUGACAAAGUCGAACAAGUCAGAACAUUUAUUUCAUAAGAUCAUUGAUGACUACAGGAAGUUUCGACUGGGUUCACGGACAGGAAUAAAAGAUAAGGAUAAUGCCAGGCAGGCAGCGAGUCAUGCACUCCGUUUUUGCCUCUAUAUGGCUACUGGGCUACCUCCAAAAAUGGUCUCAAUGGAUAUGAAGUUCCUUCUCCAGAUUGACAAAUUGCGCAUGUGGCCACUAUACCUCACCGAAAAGGGUUACCUCCCAACUACUGUAAGAAACAUGAUGACAAAUGUCACCCUGUUCAUCAGGCACAUGAAGUGCUCAUUCCAGGCGGUCAGCAAAGUCAGAUCUUCUGACUUCGACAAACUCCUCUAUGAGCU